rnacentral:rRNA from 1 species
GUGGGGAAUAUUGGACAAUGGGCGAAAGCCUGAUCCAGCCAUGCCGCGUGAGUGAUGAAGGCCUUAGGGUUGUAAAGCUCUUUCAGUAGGGAAGAUAAUGACGGUACCUACAGAAGAAGCCCCGGCUAACUUCGUGCCAGCAGCCGCGGUAAUACGAAGGGGGCUAGCGUUGUUCGGAUUUACUGGGCGUAAAGCGCACGUAGGCGGAUUGGUCAGUUAGAGGUGAAAUCCUGGAGCUCAACUCCAGAACUGCCUUUAAUACUGCCAGUCUAGAGUCCAGAAGAGGUGAGUGGAACUCCUAGUGUAGAGGUGGAAUUCGUAGAUAUUAGGAAGAACACCAGUGGCGAAGGCGGCUCACUGGUCUGGUACUGACGCUGAGGUGCGAAAGCGUGGGGAGCAAACAGGAUUAGAUACCCUAGUAGUCCC